AGAGGAGAGAGAAUCUUCCCAUCUGAGAAAAUUCCUUCAAAGUAUUUUUAUAGGCAGGAUUUCAUCUCCUCCUCUUCGCUGCUGGAUACACUCAGUUUGUCACUUUUCUGUCAGCCUUGGAUUUAAUUGUACAUGAAUGAAAUUACUCCUCAGAAAACUAGCUUGCUAAAUCCAAGUAUCACUUUGUGAUUUCCCCUUUGAUAAGUAGUAUAAUUGCAGAACUGUAUGU
rnacentral:lncRNA from 1 species